AUGAACAAUAAACUGGACUGGAAGCACCACACAGUGGCUGUCUACAAGAAGGCUGCUCAAGGCCAGUCCCUCACCUCCUCAGAGCCAGUGGUCAGCAGGGCAGGAGAACCAGCCACUCUGUACUGUAAUGUCAAUGGACUUGCUCUUUCUUGGCUGCACUGGAUUCGUCAGAAAACGGGGAAAGGACUGGAAUGGAUCGGACGCAUUGAUAGCGGAACUGGCACAAUAUUUGCCCAAAAUCUCCAAGGCCAGUUUUCCAUCACAAAGGACACAUCGAACAAUGUUGUGUACUUAGAGGUGAAGAGUCUUAAACAAGAAGACUCUGCUGUUUAUUUCUGUGCACGAGAGCCACAGUUACACAGCUGA